ACAGUAAACGAUGAAAUACUCGCUGUUUGCGAUACACUGUAAGCGGCCAAGCGAAAGCGUUAAGUAUUCCACCUGGGGAGUACGCCGGCAACGGUGAAACUCAAAGGAAUUGACGGGGGCCCGCACAAGCGGAGGAACAUGUGGUUUAAUUCGAUGAUACGCGAGGAACCUUACCCGGGCUUAAAUUGCGCUGGCUUUUACCGGAAACGGUAUUUUCUUCGGACCAGCGUGAAGGUGCUGCAUGGUUGUCGUCAGCUCGUGCCGUGAGGUGUCGGCUUAAGUGCCAUAACGAGCGCAACCCUUAUCUUUAGUUACUAACAGUUUUGCUGAGGACUCUAAAGAGACUGCCGUCGUAAGAUGCGAGGAAGGUGGGGAUGACGUCAAAUCAGCACGGCCCUUACGUCCGGGGCUACACACGUGUUACAAUGGGGAGCACAGCAGGUUGCUACACGGCGACGUGAUGCCAAUCCGUAAAACUCCUCUCAGUUCGGAUCGAAGUCUGCAACCCGACUUCGUGAAGCUGGAUUCGCUAGUAAUCGCGCAUCAACCACGGCGCGGUGAAUA
rnacentral:rRNA from 1 species